rnacentral:rRNA from 1 species
AGGAAACCAACUGGGAUUGCCUUAGUAACGGCGAGUGAAGCGGCAAAAGCUCAAAUUUGAAAUCUGGUACCUUUGGUGCCCGAGUUGUAAUUUGGAGAGUACCACUUUGGGACUGUACUUUGCCUAUGUUCCUUGGAACAGGACGUCAUGGAGGGUGAGAAUCCCGUGUGGCGAGGGUGUCAGUUCUUUGUAAAGGGUGCUCGAAGAGUCGAGUUGUUUGGGAAUGCAGCUCUAAGUGGGUGGUAAAUUCCAUCUAAAGCUAAAUACAGGCGAGAGACCGAUAGCGAACAAGUACAGUGAUGGAAAGAUGAAAAGAACUUUGAAAAGAGAGUGAAAAAGUACGUGAAAUUGUUGAAAGGGAAGGGCAUUUGAUCAGACAUGGUGUUUUGCGCCCCUUGCCUCUCGUGGGCUUGGGACUCUCGCAGCUCACUGGGCCAGCAUCGGUUUUGGCGGCCGGAAAAAACCUAGGGAAUGUGGCUCUGCGCCUCGGUGUAGAGUGUUAUAG